rnacentral:rRNA from 1 species
UACGUAGGGUGCGAGCGUUGUCCGGAAUUAUUGGGCGUAAAGGGCUCGUAGGCGGUCUGUCGCGUCGGGAGUGAAAAUCCAGGGCUUAACCCUGGACCUGCAUCGGGUACGGGCAGACUAGAGUGCGGGUAGGGGAGAAUCGGAAUUCCUGGUGUAGGCGGUGAAAAUGCGCAGAUAUCAGGAGGAACACCGGUGGCGAAGGCGGAUCUCUGGGACGGUACUGACGCUGAGACGCGAAAGCGUGGGGAGCGAACAGG